rnacentral:tRNA from 1 species
GCUCGCUUGACGCAGUGGUAGCGUGCCGUUCUUAUAUAAUCUUCGAUUACGAAGUUUGUAUGACGAGAAAUGCGGAAGCCGUGAGUUCGACCCUCACAGUGAGCA